UACAGAGGUGGCAAGCGUUGUUCGGAAUUACUGGGCGUAAAGGGCGCGUAGGCGGCCUUCUAAGUCAGACGUGAAAUCCCCCGGCUUAACCUGGGAACUGCGUCUGAUACUGGGAGGCUUGAGUAUGGGAGAGGGAUGUAGAAUUCCAGGUGUAGCGGUGAAAUGCGUAGAUAUCUGGAGGAAUACCGGUGGCGAAGACGGCAUCCUGGACCAUAACUGACGCUGAGGCGCGAAAGCGAUGGGUAGCAAACGAGGA
rnacentral:rRNA from 1 species